CGUUUACAGGUGACAUGGAGAGGUUGUAUCAAAGAUAACAAUCAUUUAGGAAUGCAUGUACCAAUACAUAAACACAUUUGAUGUAACGGAGGAAAUCAAGCAGCUAAUAGAGUUGGAAAUGAACAGGUUUCCAACGACAAUGGAAAUUAGAUUGGUGCGGCAAUUUAUCAAAAAAAUAAUGUAGUUUGGAGUACAGACCUGCUAUGUAUAGAACUGACUUCUAAUCCAGCUAUGUAGUAUGGCAUGUUUGUGAGAUGUGGUUAUGGCGGAUGGAUGUUUAUGAAGGACCUGUAGUACAAAGUAUAUCCCUGGAUUGAGCUCUUUGUCUAAGUGUAUUAUUAAAGUGAUUUGCUUUGAGCUCAGUUCAUUGUUAUGCAAUUCAUUCUUUGUGAAAUAAAUUUUUGACAGACAACUCUCAACUGCACAAGGAAUUGUCAAAGUAGUAUUCAUUAUAUGUACAAUGUUAGUAGUAAUGGGGAGAUAAAAGCAUUUUAUUUAGAUUUGAACCAAACAUUUUUUGUCUAGAAGCCAAAUUAAAAAAAAAGCAAGAAUUUACCAAACAAUGCUACUUGUGCUACUAGCAAUAUGAUGCUUGGUAGUUUUAUUACAUUUUUUUUAUACAUCUGUACUGCCUACUGACGACUCAGUCCUGAGUGUAAAUGGUCAUUCAGUAUGUUAAAAAAAUGAACAAAAUUUAUAAGGCCUAUCUGGCCUAAUUGAUUUCUAAAAUUAUAUUUCAUUGCUCAACAUUUAUUAUUCAUUUGUUUAUUUCUUAAUUUGUGUGAAUUAACAUUAAAUGUUAAUUACUGCACUUUUAUACCACAGAACAACUGCCUUACUGUACUGAUGUCACUUAUAUUUGUAUCCAUCAUUGUCCAUAUAACAAAUAAAUUGAAAACAAGAAUAUUUUUGCAAAACCUUUUUCAUUUUAAAUACUAUAACCUUUUAGAUAUUUACAAAUAUCAAGUAGAUGUUCAUAUCCACUAGAAAUUUUAUCAGAUGACUUCUAUAGCAGUUAUGAGUCUUUGAAGCAUGCUCACAAAGAUUCUUUUGUUGAUUUCAUUUUCAUACUUAUUCCGCUCAGGUACUAAGCAGAUAGUUUACCAUACAGUUAAUUAAAACACCGUUUGCCCAUUUUUAAGUUUAUUCAUAAUUCUGGCAUGAUUGUGUAGACAACUGUGUAUGCAGAUAAAAAGCUGCAAC